rnacentral:lncRNA from 1 species
UUUGACAUGGAACGCCCAUCGAUUCGUUGAACACUGGCAUUCAUCAUCCAACCACAGUGUCCACUUUCCUCUUUUGAGGACUCCCAGAUUCAUUCGGUCUUUUCUGAUUCAUAACCUAGUAUUCUCGUCUUUUCUUUGCUUUGAGACGAUCGAUCUCCUCAUAUCCGGGCUAACUCUCCAAUCUUCAGACUUUGAAGAGUCUUCUAGAUUACCCUCUAGGAUCGUUGUCCUUCUUUCGCUGUCGUUUCACC